AACACGGUAACCGUUAGAGUUUGGAUCUGGCUCAGGACGAACGCUGGCGGCGUGCCUAAUACAUGCAAGUCGAGCGGACAGAUGGGAGCUUGCUCCCUGAUGUUAGCGGCGGACGGGUGAGUAACACGUGGGUAACCUGCCUGUAAGACUGGGAUAACUCCGGGAAACCGGGGCUAAUACCGGAUGGUUGUUUGAACCGCAUGGUUCAAACAUAAAAGGUGGCUUCGGCUACCACUUACAGAUGGACCCGCGGCGCAUUAGCUAGUUGGUGAGGUAACGGCUCACCAAGGCAACGAUGCGUAGCCGACCUGAGAGGGUGAUCGGCCACACUGGGACUGAGACACGGCCCAGACUCCUACGGGAGGCAGCAGUAGGGAAUCUUCCGCAAUGGACGAAAGUCUGACGGAGCAACGCCGCGUGAGUGAUGAAGGUUUUCGGAUCGUAAAGCUCUGUUGUUAGGGAAGAACAAGUACCGUUCGAAUAGGGCGGUACCUUGACGGUACCUAACCAGAAAGCCACGGCUAACUACGUGCCAGCAGCCGCGGUAAUACGUAGGUGGCAAGCGUUGUCCGGAAUUAUUGGGCGUAAAGGGCUCGCAGGCGGUUUCUUAAGUCUGAUGUGAAAGCCCCCGGCUCAACCGGGGAGGGUCAUUGGAAACUGGGGAACUUGAGUGCAGAAGAGGAGAGUGGAAUUCCACGUGUAGCGGUGAAAUGCGUAGAGAUGUGGAGGAACACCAGUGGCGAAGGCGACUCUCUGGUCUGUAACUGACGCUGAGGAGCGAAAGCGUGGGGAGCGAACAGGAUUAGAUACCCUGGUAGUCCACGCCGUAAACGAUGAGUGCUAAGUGUUAGGGGGUUUCCGCCCCUUAGUGCUGCAGCUAACGCAUUAAGA
rnacentral:rRNA from 1 species